GUUAGUUUAAGAUAUUUGACUUAGUUGAAUUUAAAUUUAAAUUAUGAGGAAUUUUAUAUUAGUAAUUAAUCAAUAUUUUAUUCCUUAAAAAAAAAAAAAGGUAUAGCUGAGUUUAAAUUUUAAAUUCCUAGAUUUUUUCUAAUCAGUUGAAUAUAUACGAUAUGGUUUUACCAUUCAAUGAAACGAUGAACACAAAUUUCAUUCUCUACUUCUUUCUCUCCACUUAGAUAAUUCCUAAAUCUCUCAUAGCCUCUAUCACACCAAAUUACAGCAUAGCAUAAAUUGAAGCCUCUAUCACAAUAUUCAAUUUCUAAGGGCCUAGAAGGUAUCGUAGGAGUUAAUUACAGCGGAGUUGAGAUAAGUAAGCCUGUAAGCUUUCGGUGACAAGUUGAGUCUGGGCAGCAUGGGGUGUAUCUCGUGUGAUCAUGUAACUGCGUGUGGUCUUGGCCAUCUUCCGCUGAAAGUUUUUUUUUUUUAAUUUAUUAAACUUAUCGAGGAUGUUGUCGUUUAAAUUUUCUAUUACUUUUCCCUAAGUGGUAAUACUUUAUUUUCAACUGGGUACCCAUGUUUUGAAAAUUGUUUUUUUUUAAUAAAGGCAACAUUAGUAUCUUAACGCCAGUUUAUUUAUGGCAUCUUAUUUUAUAUAAGUAAGGGCGUUACAUUAUAACCUAACAACUACCUAAAAAAGGACAUGCCGUUUUUCUGUGUCUUGCACCAGUAAAAACGGUAGGCUGUUUCUACAGAAAUGGCCUGCCGUUUUUCACUGCAGAAAAACAUAGGUACCCUAAAACGAUCUAAAUCUACCCCAAAACAUACCACAAGCUCCAGAACACCUAAUUGAGGAUCAAUAAACAUAUACCAACUGAAAAUUUUAUAAUCAAGCUACUAAAAUUAAAAUCACCAUUAAAGGGUCAUUUUUGAGCUUAAAAGCUCCAUACUAGCUUAAACACUACCAUAGCCACAAAAACCAGCUUGAACCAACUUGAAUAAUCAAAAAUCAAUAAAAGGAAGUACUCUAAAACA